rnacentral:rRNA from 1 species
AUAAUGGGUCAGCGACUUAUAUUCUGUAGCAAGGUUAACCGAAUAGGGGAGCCGAAGGGAAACCGAGUCUUAACUGGGCGUUAAGUUGCAGGGUAUAGACCCGAAACCCGGUGAUCUAGCCAUGGGCAGGUUGAAGGUUGGGUAACACUAACUGGAGGACCGAACCGACUAAUGUUGAAAAAUUAGCGGAUGACUUGUGGCUGGGGGUGAAAGGCCAAUCAAACCGGGAGAUAGCUGGUUCUCCCCGAAAGCUAUUUAGGUAGCGCCUCGUGAAUUCAUCUCCGGGGGUAGAGCACUGUUUCGGCAAGGGGGUCAUCCCGACUUACCAACCCGAUGCAAACUGCGAAUACCGGAGAAUGUUAUCACGGGAGACACACGGCGGGUGCUAACGUCCGUCGUGAAGAGGGAAACAACCCAGACCGCCAGCUAAGGUCCCAAAGUCAUGGUUAAGUGGGAAACGAUGUGGGAAGGCCCAGACAGCCAGGAUGUUGGCUUAGAAGCAGCCAUCAUUUAAAGAAAGCGUAA